CGGCAGCCCGAGUGGUGAUCACUAUUAUUGGGUCUAAAGGGUCCGUAGCCGGUUUGAUCAGUCUUUUGGGAAAUCUGACAGCUUAACUGUUAGGCUUCCAAAGGAUACUGUCAGACUUGGGACCGGGAGAGGUAAGAGGUACUACAGCGGUAGGAGCGAAAUCUUGUAAUCCCUGUGGGACCACCAGUGGCGAAGGCGUCUUACCAGAACGGGUCCGACGGUGAGGGACGAAAGCUGGGGGCACGAACCGGAUUAGAUACCCGAGUAGUCC
rnacentral:rRNA from 1 species